rnacentral:lncRNA from 1 species
ACUACCCAGUGCCUCAGGCAGUGAUAGGAGUGGAAAAGAAAGCAUUAGCCCAAUUGUGUGCACAGCCUCAUGUUUUAUCUCCUAAGUUUUAUCCCUGUUUCUCCUGUCUUUCCUUCUCUCAGCCCAUCGGUGCAGCCUAUCCAGAUCCUCCUGCAGAGCCUUCCUACCCUCGAGCAGACCGACACACGCACCUAACUUGGUGUCAUCUGCGAACAUCAAAGAGGAACAGAAAAAUGAAGGGGACAAUCUAAAUCCUUGCUUUGGGAAACAUAAGCCUAGGACCAUGGUGAACCAGCAACACCUUCUGAGACCAGCUUUUGGAGACUCUUACAGGUAUAUAAGUUUUUCUAUUGACUGCAUUCCUUUAAUUUCUGUAUAGGUUUCCUGA